rnacentral:rRNA from 1 species
GACAGAGGGUGCAAACGUUGUUCGGAAUUACUGGGCGUAAAGCGCGUGUAGGCGGCUAUGCAAGUCGGAUGUGAAAGCCCUCGGCUCAACCGGGGAAGUGCACCCGAAACUGCAAAGCUAGAGUCUCGGAGAGGAUCGUGGAAUUCUCGGUGUAGAGGUGAAAUUCGUAGAUAUCGAGAGGAACUCCGGUGGCGAAGGCGGCAUACUGGUCCACUUCUGACGCUGAGGCGCGAAAGCCAGGGGAGCAAACGGG